rnacentral:tRNA from 1 species
GCGCCUGUAGCUCAACUGGAUAGAGCACCAGACUUCGGAUCUGGGGGUUGAGGGUUCGACUCCUUCCGGGCGCGCCA